AUGCUCAUGUCAGCAGCACAUACACUAAAACUGGAUUGAUACAGAGAUUCUUAGCAUGGCCCCUGCCCAAGGAUGACAAGCAAAUUCGUGAUUUAGCUGAAGGAAUG
ensembl:snRNA U6 U6 spliceosomal RNA